rnacentral:snoRNA from 1 species
AUCCCAUGAUGAGGGCAUUUUUGUAAUAGCUCUUUGAAUCUUUCUCAUGCUUCAUACAGAGAGUCCCUAUCCACUUGUUGGAAUGAGGUAAUGUUGUUUCUGAGCUU